GUGCUCAUUUCAGCAGCAUAUAUACUAAAAUUAAAAUAAUACAGAGAAGAUUAGCAUGGCCCCUAUGCAAGGAUGACACACAAAUUCAUGAAGUAUUCCAUAUAAAA